AUUAUCGAUUCGUUUGUUACUCGGCACAGCUUACGGCCGCCUGGCUACAUUCGCGCGAUAACCAAACGCGGAUCGAGCACAUUCUUGCUCUACCAUUUCGACGAGAUCGCAUUUCGCUGCUCGAUGGAUCUUUGGCGACGAGUUUUCACUGUCCGAUCGUGUGGGAAAGAGCGAAAGGAAGAUCGUUCGACACGUUUCGUUAACGAUUACCGGUAGUGCCAUUUCCCAAGGAAAUAACGAGUAACAAUUGAAAUAAUGAAACGUCUUUUCUUUCUAUGGGAACCAAUAUAAAUUAGAUUUAGAGUUAUCAAAUGUUGAUUUAGUUGCAGGGAUAGUCGACUUAGAAGAUGUAUUUGAUAAAUAGCAGAGGACUUGCGAGCAGAUAACGUCUGGCUCUUUAGCAGAAGUAUCAAUAUAAUGAUUCGCGUGAAAAGGAAGCUAAUGAAGACAAUUUUAUCCCAUUUGCGAGAGACCAAUUCUUUCGCUAUCGUGGCAGAGACAAGAAAACGACCCCCUGUCGCUGCUGGCCAGCAAGAUAAAGAGAUGCAACGAGAACGGAACGAACUUAACCGGAUGGGCUAUUAUUUAUACAGUUGGUAAGCUGCUUAAGAAGAGGCAAGGUACAAAAAAGCGACAAAUUUCAAGGCUUAAUAAUAAUAAUAGAGCGAUCGUUCCCUAGUGUGUAUGCCGUGAAAACGACUCCUCCUUACGAAUGCGGUGACUUUAACGAGGAUGCGUUCUUCGGCUCCUGAGAAAACGACAUCGCACGGUAGACCGCCGAUGCUAAUUAAUUAGAGCCUGCUAAAUAAUUCACUUUCAUCGCGAUAGCUAGGAACCGCGGGUAAUAGAGGCUGAUAAUUGCGCGACGCUCGAGAAACGGCGGAAAUGCGGUGAGGAAGGAAAACACCGCAGGAGUUUUCCGCUUGUAAUAUAUCAAACCUGGCCUGGUAUUAUUGCCAUUUUCAAUAAGGGCACCCUGGUAACCUAACAGGAUCAUAUCUCGUUUUCCAUCCACCGAAUCCCAAAGUUUCCCGAGCAUCGAAUUGUCACUUCUAUAUUUUGUUUGACGUUCCCCAAAGUUCGUCCGCGUUCUGGUUUGCUAUAUUGCCAGUCAGGACUUGGCUUCAGCCAGCAGAGUCCUCGAACCGCUCAUCAAACUUCAAGUAUCCUCUUCACUGUUGCGCGAAGGAACUUGCGAUUUGUACGAGCGCUUUUCGAAUGAAAUUGAGCUUAAAGUACAGGUGAAAGUGGUCGUUUAAAUUUCAUUUCAAACUCUUCUUCAUCUACAUUUUCAACGUGAAAAUCUUUCGUUUGGAAAAACAUCUGAAUACCGAGAUCGAAUUGAACAAGUGGGACUAAUUAACAUAUCUGUGCAACUCCUAAUUACCAGCGCCAGAAGUGGCAGGUGUUCCGCAAGACAUCGGCUACCUAAACAGCUAUGCAAAUUAAUUACGACGCUUCUUGGCCACGUUAAUUUGUGUGUGUUUUUUAAAAAAUUUUUUAUCUUAUUUUCAUCCAAACGUUGCCACCGGAGUUUCCUUCUUUCCGUUCAACUCCGAAUUACGAAAGCAAAACCGCUGAAACUCCGAACAAUGAAAAUCUCUUCUCUGCCGGAGAAAAGAGCCAUUAACUUCCUUGCUAAUCCAGCGUUCCCAUGAUCUCGAGUGUUGUAACCGAGAGUCGAAUCACCGGAUCGUUGCCGAAGAGAUUGAAAUCGCGAGCAUGUACCAUUCGAAUCGUCCGAAUCACUCGACUCGGCCUGAUUACUAGAUUAAAUGCUAUAUGUAGUUCUCAUAGAUUAGAUAGAAAUGCUGGCCGAUCCGUUAGGCAAUCUUAGAGAAGAGGAAAUAGACUCGCGAUCGAUCGAGGAUUUCCUAGAGAUAAUCUAUAACGGAAGGGUGCUACGAGAGAAGUAGGAAUAUUAAAAGUAAUUUAGAAACAAAAUAGGUCCUCAAAACAGUAGAAAUAUAAUAUGAUGAGUUUUCUAGAAAAAGAGUGAUCGAUGAGAGUGUAUAAUAAAUAAAUAAGAAAAUAACGCGUUUUCAAGCCCUCGGAUGGCGGACCACGGAGAGAGCCACAAUUCCAAUUUAUUAUCCCAUAACUCGGGUACCCGAUGCGAUUGCGAAUGUACGAAUCAAUCGAACCAUUGGUGAAUUACUGUUUCGCCUGAACGAUCGGUGCUACGCUUGUAUCUUACGCAAUCGGAACUUGCGACAUCCCCGAGGGAUCGUUAAUUAUAAAAUCGAAAUCACCGCCUCGAGAGCCGAAUAUCUCGUGGAAGGCAUCGUAUUUCGCAAGGAACACACCGGUUAACUCGCGAACGCAAAUUAGCAGAAUAAUAAUGAUGCCCCCAGUGUUGCUCAACGCUCUUUCAACAAACUGCUAGCCUCCUUCGAUAAAUGAUAUGUUGAUAACUUUUCAAACGGCACUGUAUCAAUCCUCCGAAGUCUAUUUAGACCUACGCGUUUUAAGUGUCAGGAUGGAAUUUAUAUAGAAAUUCGAAGCAUAGAACAUAUUUUGGAGCAACGACAAGAAAGCGAUAAGUAUAAUAAAUCACUGUUCACCGAGCGAUAAA